rnacentral:rRNA from 1 species
UGAAUACGAGACGCUAAGGCGUUGAAGUAGUGUAUGUCAUACUUCCAAGAAUAGCUUGCACUGUCAUAGAUAAAAAACGCCUGUACCAUAACCGACACAGGUGGGUAGGUAGAGUAUACUAAGGGGCGCGAGAUAACUCUCUCUAAGGAACUCGGCAAAAUAACUCCGUAACUUCGGGAGAAGGAGUGCCUUAUUUAUAAGGCUGCAAUAACAAGAUCCAAGCAACUGUUUAUCAAAAACACAGGUCUCCGCUAAGUCGUAAGACGAUGUAUGGGGGCUGACGCCUGCCCAGUGCCAGAAGGUUAAAGAAGUUGGUUAGCAAUAGCGAAGCUGAUAACUGAAGCCCUGGUGAACGGCGGCCGUAACUAUAACGGUCCUAAGGUAGCGAAAUUCCUUGUCGGGUAAGUUCCGACCCGCACGAAAGGCGUAAUGAUUUGGAUACUGUCUCGGAGAGGGGCUCGGUGAAAUAGACUUGUCUGUGAAGAUGCGGACUACCUGCACCAGGACAGAAAGACCCUAUGAAGCUUUACUGUAACUUGAAAUUGAAAUUGGACUUUAUUCGCGCAGUAUAGGUGGGAGGCGUUGAUUGUAAUCUUGCGGGAUUAUUGGAGCCAUCAGUGAGAUACCACCCUUGUAAUGUUAGAUUUCUAACUUUGAAUCAUUAUCUGGUCAAAGAACAGUUUCAGGCGGGCAGUUUGACUGGGGCGGUCGCCUCCUAAACGGUAACGGAGGCGUACAAAGGUUUCCUCUGAACGGUUAGAAAUCGUAUCUAGAGUGUAAAGGCAUAAGGAAGCUUGACUGUAGACCUACAAGUCGAGCAGGGACGAAAGUCGGUCUUAGUGAUCUGACGGUACUGAGUGGAAAGACCGUCACUCAACGGAUAAAAGUUACUCUAAGGAUAACAGGCUGAUCUCCCCCAAGAGUUCAUAUCGACGGGGAGGUUUGGCACCUCGAUGUCGGCUCAUCGCAUCCUGGGGCGGUAGUACGUCCCAAGGGUUGGGCUGUUCGCCCAUGAAAGCGGUACGCGAGCUGGGUUCAGAGCGUCGUGAGACAGUUCGGUCCAUAUCCGGUGUAGGCGUUAGAAUAUUGAGAGGAGCCUUCUUUAUUACGAGAGGACCGAGAAGGACAUACCUCUGGUGUACCAGUUAUCGUGCCAACGGUAAACGCUGGGUAGCUAUGUAUGGAGUGGAUAACCGCUGUAAGCAUCUAA